rnacentral:rRNA from 1 species
CGUAGGGAAACCGAGUCUUAAUUGGGCGUUAAGUUGCAGGGUAUAGACCCGAAACCCGGUGAUCUAGCCAUGGGCAGGUUGAAGGUUGGGUAACACUAACUGGAGGACCGAACCGACUAAUGUUGAAAAAUUAGCGGAUGACCUGUGGCUGGGGGUGAAAGGCCAAUCAAACCGGGAGAUAGCUGGUUCUCCCCGAAAGCUAUUUAGGUAGCGCCUCGUGAAUUCAUCUCCGGGGGUAGAGCACUGUUUCGGCUAGGGGGCCAUCCCGGCUUACCAACCCGAUGCAAACUGCGAAUACCGGAGAAUGUUAUCACGGGAGACACACGGCGGGUGCUAACGUCCGUCGUGAAGAGGGAAACAACCCAGACCGCCAGCUAAGGUCCCAAAGUCAUGGUUAAGUGGGAAACGAUGUGGGAAGGCCCAGACAGCCAGGAUGUUGGCUUAGAAGCAGCCAUCAUUUAAAGAAAGCGUAAUAGCUCACUGGUCGAGUCGGCCUGCGCGGAAGAUGUAACGGGGCUAAACCAUGCACCGAAGCUGCGGCAGCGACACUGUG